rnacentral:rRNA from 1 species
UGAGGAAUAUUGGUCAAUGGACGCAAGUCUGAACCAGCCAAGUAGCGUGCAGGAUGACGGCCCUAUGGGUUGUAAACUGCUUUUAUAUGGGAAUAAAGUGAGGGACGUGUCCCUUAUUGCAUGUACCAUACGAAUAAGGACCGGCUAAUUCCGUGCCAGCAGCCGCGGUAAUACGGAAGGUCCAGGCGUUAUCCGGAUUUAUUGGGUUUAAAGGGAGCGUAGGCUGUUUGUUAAGCGUGUUGUGAAAUGUAAGAGCUCAACUUUUAGAUUGCCGCGCGAACUGGCAGACUUGAGUGCGCACAACGUAGGCGGAAUUCAUGGUGUAGCGGUGAAAUGCUUAGAUAUCAUGACGAACGCCGAUUGCGAAGGCAGCUUACGGGAGCGCAACUGACGCUAAAGCUCGAAGGAGCGGGUAUCGAACAGG